GUGAAGUGAGGCCCGGGCCAGGGUCGCGGGAACGAGCGCCCGGCGGAACCGCUGCUGCCAAAGCCGCCCGGGCCGCCCAUCCUCUCCUGGCGGAGCCCUCAGGCGCUGAAAACUACAACUCCCGGCAUGCCCUGAGCCCGACGGCCGCAGACCUGAGGCGGGGUCGGGCGCGUCAGCCGGCCGGCCGGCUGUGCACGGCAGCGCCGGGGACUGGGCCCGCCGCUGCCGCGCGCGGGGUGAAGACGCGUGCCAUGGAGGAGACACCGCCCCCAAUGCAAGCCGGCAGCAAGCCGCACCUUGAGAAGUUGACCCUGGGCGUAACUCGCAUCCUGG
rnacentral:lncRNA from 1 species